CGCUCCGGCCAGGCAUUUGCUGCAACCAAGCUAAGCAUCAUCAACCCCUUAUUAGCUUAUUAUUGGUUGUGGAGGCAACAACCCAACAACAACAAGAACCAAGGCCGCCGAUCGACAUGGCUGACUACUACGGCGGCCGGACCAUGUACUCCAAGACCGACGAGUGCUACGACGCCGGCAGGCACGGCAGCCGGAGGGUGUACUCCCACACCGACGAGUGCUACGACGACGUGGACCGCAGGAGGCCGGGGGCCUACGCCGACGACUGCUACAACGGCGCCGGCUACGGCGGCGCCAGGCAGGCCGCCGUCUACUCCGACGAGUACUCCCGCGGCGGCUACGGCUACGGCGGCGAGCAGGAGCACUUCAAGAGGGAGGAGAGGGAGCACAAGCACAAAGAGCGCCUCGGCGAGAUAGGCGCCCUCGCCGGCGGCGCCUUCGCACUGUACGAGGGUCACCGUGCGAAGAAGGACCCGGAGCACGCGCAGAGGCACAAGAUGGAGGCGGGCGUGGCGACGGCGGCGGCGCUGGGUGCCGGCGGCUACGCGUACCACGAGCACCGCGAGCAGAAGGAGGCCCGCUACGAGGGCAAGGACCACAGCAGGGUGCCGCACGGCUACUACUGCAACUAACUCAUCAUUAUAUUACUAGCUACUUGGAUCGAUCGAGUCAUGCAUGCAUCGACGAGAUGAAUAAUGGACGACCACGAUGACGUACGGGCGUGCAAGUACUAGUAAAUAAGAGCAGAUCAUUAUUAAUAUAAUGCAAUUAUUAAGUUACGCAUAGUAUAGUAUUGUGUAUGAUCAUUAUGGAACAAGUCAUCUCGAUCAGCUCUUUGUUUCUUGUAUCGACUGUUGUCGGUGGAAUUUUUUUUCACUGUUUAAUGUUUACUAGCAAGCAUACAUGUACGUGCAACACGCACAUAUUCUUAAAA